GAUGAACGCUGGCGGCGUGCCUAAUACAUGCAAGUCGAGCGAAUGGAUUAAGAGCUUGCUCUUAUGAAGUUAGCGGCGGACGGGUGAGUAACACGUGGGUAACCUGCCCAUAAGACUGGGAUGACUCCGGGAAACCGGGGCUAAUACCGGAUAACAUUUUGAACCGCAUGGUUCGAAAUUGAAAGGCGGCUUCGGCUGUCACUUAUGGAUGACCCGCGUCGCAUUAGCUAGGUGGUGAGGUAACGGCUCACCAAGGCAACGAUGCGUAGCCGACCGGAGAGGGUGAGCGGCCACACUGGGACUGAGACACGGACCAGAAUCCUACGGGAGGCAGCAGUAGGGAAUCUUCCGAAAUGGACGAAAGUCUGACGGAGCAACGCCGCGUGAGUGAUGAAGGCUUUCGGGUCGUAAAACUCUGUUGUUAGGGAAGAACAAGUGCUAGUUGAAUAAGCUGGCACCUUGACGGUACCUAACCAGAAAGCCACGGCUAACUACGUGCCAGCCGCCGCCGUAA
rnacentral:rRNA from 1 species